rnacentral:rRNA from 1 species
AGAGUUUGAUCAUGGCUCAGGAUGAACGCUGGCGGCGUGCCUAACACAUGCAAGUCGAACGGAGUAUUUUUUACAGACUUUCUUCGGAGAUGAAGUAGCUAAUACUUAGUGGCGGACGGGUGAGUAACGCGUGGGUAACCUGCCUUAUACAGGGGAAUAACAGCCGGAAACGGUUGCUAAAACCGCAUAACAUGCAUUCAUCACAUGAUGAAAGCAUCAAAUAUUUAUAGGUAUAAGAUGGGCCCGCGUCUGAUUAGCUAGUUGGUGAGGUAACUGCUCACCAAGGCGACGAUCAGUAGCCGGCUUGAGAGAGUGACCGGCCACAUUGGGACUGAGACACGGCCCAAACUCCUACGGGAGGCAGCAGUGAGGAAUAUUGGUCAAUGGACGCAAGUCUGAACCAGCCACGUCGCGUGAAGGAAGACGGCCCUACGGGUUGUAAACUUCUUUUGUAAGGGAAUAAAGUGAGCCACGUGUGGCUUUUUGCAUGUACCUUACGAAUAAGGAUCGGCUAACUCCGUGCCAGCAGCCGCGGUAAUACGGAGGAUCCGAGCGUUAUCCGGAUUUAUUGGGUUUAAAGGGUGCGCAGGCGGGAGAUUAAGUCGGCGGUGAAAUUUUGCAGCUCAACUGUAAAAGUGCCUUCGAAACUGGUUUCCUUGAGUGUAGAUGAAGUAGGCGGAAUUUGUGGUGUAGCGGUGAAAUGCAUAGAUAUCACGAGGAACUCCGAUUGCGCAGGCAGCUUACUAAACUACUACUGACGCUCAGGCACGAAGGCGUGGGGAUCAAACAGGAUUAGAUACCCUGGUAGUCCACGCAGUAAACGAUGAUUACUAGCUGUUUGCGAUACAAUGUAAGCGGCUGAGCGAAAGCGUUAAGUAAUCCACCUGGG